ensembl:misc_RNA Metazoa_SRP Metazoan signal recognition particle RNA
GCCGGGUGUGGUGGUGCGCACCUGUAGUCCCAGCUACUUGGGAGGCUGAGGCAGGAGAAUCGCUUGAACCCGGGAGGUGGAGGUUGCCGUGAGCUGAGAUUGUACCACUGCACUCCAGCCUGGGCAACAGAGCGAGACUCUGUCUCAA